UGGGGAAUAUUGGACAAUGGGCGAAAGCCUGACCCAGCAACGCCGCGUGAAGGAUGAAGUAUUUCGGUAUGUAAACUUCGAAAGAAUAGGAAGAAUAAAUGACGGUACUAUUUAUAAGGUCCGGCUAACUACGUGCCAGCAGCCGCGGUAAUACGUAGGGACCAAGCGUUGUUCGGAUUUACUGGGCGUAAAGGGCGCGUAGGCGGCAAUUCAAGUCAUCUGUGAAAUCUCCGGGCUUAACUCGGAACGGUCAGAUGAUACUGCUUUGCUAGAGUGCAGAAGGGGCAAUCGGAAUUCUUGGUGUAGCGGUGAAAUGCGUAGAUAUCGGAAGGAACAUCAGUUGCGAAGGCGGCUCUCUGGACUCAAACUGACGCUGAGGCACGAAAGCGUGGGUAGCGAACAGGAUUAGAUACCCACGUAGUCCCUGAGCGGGCUGGCAAGGCGCAU
rnacentral:rRNA from 1 species